CCGCAAGCCGACGCUCUAUCCACUGAGCCAAAUCGUUGUGGGAAUCACACUACCAGAUUUUUAAGACACAAGCAGCUACAGUAAUCAUGACCAUGUGCUGUUGACAAAAGGUGACACUUAUAGACCAAUGGAAGAGAAUACAAAGCCCAGAAAUAAACCUAUAUCAAAAUGGCUAAUUGAUUCUUGACAAAGAUACAAAAGAAGUUCUUUGG